AGAGUUUGAUCGUGGCUCAGGAUGAACGCUAGCGGCAGGCUUAACACAUGCAAGUCGAGGGGCAGCACGGGUAGCAAUACUUGGUGGCGACCGGCGCAAGGGUGCGUAACGCGUGAGCAACAUGCCCGUAUCAGGGGGAUAAUCCAUGGAAACGUGGUCUAAUACCCCAUAGUAAGUUUUUGGGGCAUCUCAAAGAUUUUAAAGCUUUGGUGGAUACGGAUUGGCUCGCGUGACAUUAGCUAGAUGGUAAGGUAACGGCUUACCAUGGCUACGAUGUCUAGGGGUUCUGAGAGGAAGGUCCCCCACACUGGAACUGAGACACGGUCCAGACUCCUACGGGAGGCAGCAGUGAGGAAUAUUGGACAAUGGAUGGAAAUCUGAUCCAGCCAUGCCGCGUGCAGGAAGACGGCCCUAUGGGUUGUAAACUGCUUUUGUAUGGGAGCAAUAAGAUCUACGUGUAGAUUGAUGAGAGUACCAUACGAAUAAGCACCGGCUAACUCCGUGCCAGCAGCCGCGGUAAUACGGAGGGUGCAAGCGUUAUCCGGAUUUAUUGGGUUUAAAGGGUGCGUAGGCGGUUUGAUAAGUCAGCGGUGAAAUAUUUCAGCUUAACUGGAAGGGUGCCGUUGAUACUGUCGAGCUUGAAUUUAGUUGCUGUGGGUGGAAUGUGUGGUGUAGCGGUGAAAUGCAUAGAUAUCACACAGAAUAUCGAUUGCGAAGGCAGCUCACAAAGCUAAUAUUGACGCUGAUGCACGAAAGUGUGUGGAUCAAACAGGAUUAGAUACCCUGGUAGUCCACACUGUAAACGAUGAUAACUCGCUGUCGGCGAUACACCGUCGGUGGCCAAGCGAAAGCGAUAAGUUAUCCACCUGGGGAGUACGACCGCAAGGUUGAAACUCAAACGAAUUGACGGA
rnacentral:rRNA from 1 species